rnacentral:rRNA from 1 species
GAUGAACGCUGGCGGCGUGCCUAAUACAUGCAAGUCGAACGGGGAGUCGCAAUACUCUUAGUGGCGAACGGGUGAGUACCGCGUUGGUACCUGCCCCGAAGCGGGGGAUAACGGACCGAAAGGUCCGCUAAUACCCCAUGUGCUCGGUAACGAGUAAAGGUGAAAACCACUUUGGGAGGGGCCUGCGUCCCAUCAGCUAGUUGGUAAGGUAACGGCUUACCAAGGCGAUGACGGGUAGGGGACCUGAGAGGGUGGCCCCCCACAAUGGAACUGAAACACGGUCCAGACACCUACGGGUGGCAGCAGUAGGGAAUAUUGGGAAUGGGCGCAAGCCUGAACCAGCAACGCCGCGGGGGCGAUGACGGCCUUCGGGUUGUAAAGCACUUUUGACUGGGACGGGGAAUGACGGUACCGGGCGAAUCAGCCUCGGCUAACUACGUG